rnacentral:rRNA from 1 species
UACAGAGGUCUCAAGCGUUGUUCGGAUUCAUUGGGCGUAAAGGGCGCGUAGGCGGCGGGGUCAGUCGGGUGUGAAAUCUUGGGGCUUAACCCCGAAACGGCACUCGAAACUGCCCGGCUGGAGGGCCGGAGAGGAGAUCGGAAUUCACGGUGUAGCAGUGAAAUGCGCAGAUAUCAGGAAGAACACCCGUGGCUAAGGCGGCUCUCUAGUACGGUACUGACGCUGAGACGCGAAAGCGUGGGGAGCGAACAGG